rnacentral:rRNA from 1 species
AUUGAACGCUGGCGGCAGGCUUAACACAUGCAAGUCGAGCGGGGUGAUGGUGCUUGCACUAUCACUUAGCGGCGGACGGGUGAGUAAUGCUUAGGAAUCUGCCUAUUAGUGGGGGACAACAUCUCGAAAGGGAUGCUAAUACCGCAUACGUCCUACGGUAGAAAGCAGGGGAUCACUUGUGACCUUGCGCUAAUAGAUGAGCCUAAGUCGGAUUAGCUAGUUGGUGGGGUAAAGGCCUACCAAGGCGACGAUCUGUAGCGGGUCUGCGAGGAUGAUCCGCCACACUGGGACUUAGACACGGCCCAGAAUCCUACGGGAGGCAGCAGUAGGGAAUAUUGGACAAUGGGGGGAACCCUGAUCCAGCCAUGCCGCGUGUGUGAAGAAGGCCUUAUGGUUGUAAAGCACUUUAAGCGAGGAGGAGGCUCUUUUGGUUAAUACCCAGAAUGAGUGGACGUUACUCGCAGAAUAAGCACCGGCUAACUCUGUGCCAGCCGCCGCCGUAA